AAGUCGUAACAAGGUUUCCGUAGGUGAACCUGCGGAAGGAUCAUUAUUGAAGCAUAGAGUGCGCUUUAUUGCGGCUCGACCUUCACAUCCAUUCACCCUGUGCACUGUAAUAAUUUAACUAUUAUUCUCAUCAAACCCUACUAGUCUAUGAAUGUAAAAACCUUUAUAAUUAAAAUAAAACUUUCAACAACGGAUCUCUUGGCUCUC
rnacentral:misc_RNA from 1 species